AUACGGAGGUGACAAGCGUUAUCCGGAUUUACUGGGUGUAAAGGGCGUGUAGGCGGUUUAGCAAGUCAGAAGUGAAAUUCCCGGGCUUAACUUGGGCGCUGCUUCUGAAACUGCUUUACUUGAGUGCUGGAGAGGAUAGUGGAAUUCCUAGUGUAGCGGUAAAAUGCGCAGUUAUUAGGAGGAACACCAUUAGCGAAGGCGGCUAUCUGGACAGUAACUGACGCGGAGGCGCGAAAGCGCGGGGAGCAAACAGGAUUAGAUACCCUGGUAGGCCGGGCCGUAAACGAUGAAUACUAGGUGUAGGGGGUAUCGACACCCUCUGUGCCGCAGUUACCACAAUAAGUAUUCCGCCUGGGGAGUACGGCCGCAAGGUUGAAACUCAAAUGUAUUGACGGGG
rnacentral:rRNA from 1 species